rnacentral:rRNA from 1 species
AAUGAGUGCUGGCGGCAGGCUUAACACAUGCAAGUCGAACGAGAAACCACCUUCGGGUGGUAGAGAGUGGCAAACGGGUGAGUAACGCGUGGGGAUGUACCUUGAAGUGGGGGAUAACAGUUGGAAACGACUGCUAAUACCGCAUAUAUUCUACGGAAUAAAGAUUUAUCGCUUCAAGAUCAACCCGCGUUAGAUUAGUUAGUUGGUGGGGUAAUGGCCUACCAAGACAACGAUCUAUAGCUGGUCUGAGAGGAUGAUCAGCCACACUGGAACUUAGACACGGUCCAGACUCCUACGGGAGGCAGCAGUGAGGAAUAUUGCGCAAUGGAGGAAACUCUGACGCAGCCAUGCCGCGUGUGUGAUGAAGGCCUUAGGGUUGUAAAACACUUUUAGCAGGGAAGAUAAUGACGGUACCUGCAGAAAAAGCUCCGGCUAACUCCG